UGUUAAAUAUACAAUCCUUAUUUAUUGUUAAAAACUAGCGUGAUAAACAUAAUAAGCAAACAAUAACACAUGGGCGUGUCAUGUGUACCUCAUGUUGAAGUACAAUGACUCAUUUUUAACCGUAAAAAUAGAUGAAAUAUUUAAUA
rfam:Gossypium arboreum cultivar AKA8401 contig_23746_1, whole genome shotgun sequence.